rnacentral:piRNA from 1 species
UGUCAAUAAACCAAGGUGUGCUGUGAGCCC